rnacentral:tRNA from 1 species
UGGGGCCGUAGCUCAGCGGUAGAGCGGCCCGACCCUCAAUCGGGAUGGCGGCCGGUUCAACUCCGGCCGGCCCCAUC